GUUCAUCGGAAUAAAGUGUCAUCACCAGUGAGAGAGAAAACAAAAUACGCCUAUGAAAGACAAGAGCACGAAAAUAAUCGGUCAAAAUAAAUGAAAAUCAUACAUAAAGUAGUUAAUUAGCAUGCAUUUGUAUCAAAUGAAAAAAAGAUUACCUGUGAUGGUCGUUAAACUUCCUACGAGAAAUGUUUGAGAAGUGAAGAAGGUCCUGCGCGCUAAGAUAAAGUGAAUUAAUUUUCAAUCUCCC
rnacentral:lncRNA from 1 species